rnacentral:rRNA from 1 species
AUUGCGCAAUGGAGGAAACUCUGACGCAGCGACGCCCCGUGAGCGAUGAAGGUCUUCGGACCGUAAAUCUUUGUCCUUGGGGAAGAAGGUCUUCGGACUUGACGGUACCUAAGGAUGAAUCCCCGGCUAACUACGCGCCAGCAGCCGUGGUAAUACGUAGGGGGCAAGCUUUGUCCUGAAUUAUUGGGCGUAAAGGGUGCGUAGGCGGCCUUUUAAGUCAGAUGUGAAAGCCCACGGCUUAACCGUGGGAAUGCAUUUGAAACUGGAGGGCUUGAGUAUCGGAGAGGGUAGUGGAAUUCCCAGUGUAGCGGUGGAAUGCGUAGAUAUUGGGAGGAACACCAGUGGCGAAGGCGACUACCUGGAAGAAAACUGACGCUGAGGCACGAAAGCUAGGGGAGCAAACAG